UGUCACUUCAUAAUAAGAGUUUUAAAAGACAACUGCACUUAAUCCUGGCCUGUCAGGUGGAACAACAGCAACACAAAUCUUUACAAGUCCAGUGUUUGACCAGUUCUUGUUACUGGUCCAGGAACAGUUUUCCCUUCCUAAUGCCAUCCUGGAUUACCAACAUUUAUUUUAUUUGCAUGUCUUGAGCUUUCUGUGAAUUACAACUAGCAACAGAGCAAAAAGAAGAAUUUUUCAGCUUGGCUGGUUUUGUGACUAUAAUUGGCACCACUUUUGUACUCAUGCUGUCUCUGUACUAAUUUUUUACAAAGAAGUGAUUACAAAAACAGAAGGCUCUAAUGCAGGAUAAAUAUGCAUGUCAUGUUCUGACACUAAUGAUGUGAUCACAAAUGCGGUUACCAUAUACCCACAUACCAGCCAGGAAGCUUAGUCUCCGCAGAUGUCUCAGCUGAUCCUGUAGCCAACGAUGUGUCAGGUUUCCUCAAGACAAAGCCUGCUUGUGGAUAUCUUCAUGAUCUGGUAUGUCCAUCAUCUUCAGUCUAAGGAAUGUUAAACCACCAGAUAGAUCUGUCAUGGAAAGAACAGACAUUGUAAUGAAAAUACUUUUAUUACCGUAGUACUACAGAUCAGCAUUGGUUUCACCAGACACAUUUGGCUGAGAUGUGGAUGGACAAUGUUCCUUUCCCAUGAAGCAAAAAAGACAUUGAUGUUCAUCAUCCCCCUGGAGUUUCUGGACUAUGUUAUACAUGCUAUGGGGAACCUAUUAGCAUAUAUAAGUUAAUUAAAAAUAAAUUCAACCAUAUGAUUAUUAGUACUAGAGUCAUGACAAAAAGAUCAUAUUGUAAAAAGAUGGAAAAUGUUUGUAUCUACCCAAAUAA